AGUGUCGAUUUUACAAAAAUUUUUGGAACUAAACCAGGCCUAAACAAGGCCCGUAUCCCGCGCCGUGACCGUGACCGUGAUGAGGCCGUCACGUCGUCCGUCGCUCGCUCCCCGCUCCUCGCAGCAUCAAACGCAGGCCCCAGAAAAGUUCCCGACCGCGAGGACGAUGACGCCAAGCAGGAGGCGGAGGAAGGGGAGCCGGAGCCGGAGCCGGAGAUGGUGCCUCCGCGCCUGUCAUGUCCGUUACCGCCGCGCGCUUCAAGCCACGAUCCCGCCCGGGGCAAGGCAUCACAAAUGAUGAAUACACAUAUGAUGGAUUCCUUGGAGUGCUAAAUGCCGCGCCGCGGUUGUCCCAAAUCAUUUAAGACCUUGGCAGGAGUAGCAGCUGGCAUCUAUUCUUCACCGUUCAGGAAGGACCCUCCACUGCGUAGGAGUACAGUAGCUAUCAAUGUUCACUUCAUUCAGGCAUUCAUUUUUCGCGCACUUCUUAGUUUCCAGUGGCCUCGCUCCAUCUGAAAGAAUUCAGAUGGAAUGGAAUAUAUCACAUAUGUGAGAGCCAACAAAUGCUGGGAAAGUGAAAAGAUUGUUAUGGAAAGGUGCUUUGGGUGUUGAAGGACCACUAUGUUUGCUAUUGAACAUGACUGCAAGAAGUUGGCAUUUCAGCAUAAUCUAGAUAAUAAUUUUGGCAGCAAGCAGAGAAAAGUUUCCAUGAAGCUGAUGUCUGUUAAGAGGUAAUGCAGGGCAUUUACCAAAAGCAAUUUCUUUGAUUUGUAGUUUUGUGGAUUCGUUCUUUGUGAUUUGCAGCACCUAUAAGCAAUAUAUAAUCAGGCCCUUCAUUAGGACCUUGACGUGAACUGACUGUACCCAAUAGUCAUUACCUAACGUUUGGUAAGCAUAUAGUCCACACAAAAAGGUAAAUAAAAUAAAAGUAAGUGUAGCUGUACACCAUCUGGAGCAUAUCCUAAAAUAUGCAGUUUUCGAGUAACAUUUAAACUGUGAUGGGCUGCUGCAUACUUGCAUAUAAUUUGAUGAUAGUUUUAAAGUUUAUUCUAAGUUUAUUUUCAUCACUAAUGCUAUCCAUGUCUAAAAAAACACAUACUUUUUUCGUUAUAUAUAAAUGAAAGAGGCAUUCAUUGGCCUUUCGCCUCAGUCCUGCCAUUCACAUCUAGCUACCACCUGUAUGACUAUUUUCUGUGUAUGGUAAUUAGAUGGACAAUGAACUACCCUUACGCCAGUCAGGAUGACUGAUGCCUAGCAGAAAUGCUUACUUUAUUCAUUCUAAUUAUCAACCGGCUGCAUGCUGAGAUUGCACCCGUUGUUGACUCCACCUUUUUACUUUGCCAGUGGAACUGGUACAGCACUACAACAACUGCCGCUACAAGGUCUAAUCUAAUACUCCUACAACAUUUCUGAGAUGAAAUCCUUGAGCUCAAACACAUAUAUUGCAUUUCAAGCAUCAUGUCAAUUUCCCACCCCAAAAUGUAUCAUUUCAUCUACUACUACCGUCUGUGGAUCUCAGGUUGUAUUAUUCCCCAAGACAAGAAUCUUUUGCUUUCGCAGCAGGUUCUGCCUCAAGUAUGCAAGGCAUGGAGUCGUGCUGUCAAGUUCUGUGUGUCUGGGUGGGACUACGGACUAGUAGUGAGCAGCUGCAAGGACUUGGCAGGCCCAUUCGACCAUAUCCACACAGUGAGCCUUAACUUGCCCCCAUCAAAGUGCCGCUGCCCACAGAGGCACAACACACUGUGGCUCACAAUAAAGCAUGUUCGCAUCCUUCCUCCCCCGCUUUGUCACCCAGACGACACCCCGUUCGCCAUGGUUCCGGUUCCGGCAUGAUAUUGAUAGCGGAGAAGAUGACGGUGGCAUGCAUUGGCCGUUGCGGUGGGAGGAUGAGUGCCACUGCCAUACUGACACUGCAAACUGCAGCCCAAAGGCAGAGUUUUAUGAUUUUAUCAUGGGGUGGAGUGACGGGUGUCACGGUGUGGGUCUGUCGUCUUUGCUGAAAGACGAAGGGAGAAACUUCGUUCAAAGACAGACAAGGGGGAAUAAAAGGGUGUAGCGAACCCUCGUGCUCCACUGUCCUGUGCAAUUGUAGUGUCGUCUUUAAAUAAAAUGUUGUAAGUUCCGAAGUGCUGGUGUCGAUACUCGAUAGUCACGGAGAGGUAUAUAUGGCUAGUUGUGGUCCGGUGAUUCUUGAA